rnacentral:rRNA from 1 species
ACGUAGGCAGCGAGCGUUGUUCGGAAUUACUGGGCGUAAAGAGUGUGUAGGCGGUGUUCUAAGUCUGUUGUGAAAUCUCCCGGCUUAACUGGGAGGGUGCGGCGGAGACUGGAAUGCUAGAGUGUGGGAGAGGUAAGCGGAAUUCCUGGUGUAGCGGUGAAAUGCGUAGAUAUCAGGAGGAACACCUGUGGUGUAGACAGCUUACUGGACCACGACUGACGCUGAGACACGAAAGCGUGGGUAGCAAACAGGA